rnacentral:tRNA from 1 species
GCAGUGUAGAGUAACUGGUUAACUUAUUGGGUUCAUGCCCCAAGGAUAAUGGUUCGAAUCCAUUUACUGCAA